GGAGAAGAAUCUGGCUGGAGUCGCAGCUUUCAUUCAAAGGGAAUAAUCCCACUCCUCUCCACAUUUGCCACGUAUGUUUUCUUAAAAAGAUUCUUUCAAGUCUGGCAGCUGAGACUCACAUUUCCGAUCCGGACACCCGUUUCAUAACCAGCUCAGCUGCUGACCCAGUUAAAUAAUAAUGAGCGAUUUUCAUAAAUCUAAACGUUCCCUCAGAAGAACCCAGUGGAAGAGGCUGCAGGGUGGUGCUUGGGGGGCCUGGCUGGAUGUGGGAGUGACGGGACAAAGUUGGAGUGCUCGUCUAUGGAAUCUGUGCCCUUUGCGUGGAAAACAAUACCUCCAGGCCUUGGCCCCUCCCUGUGAUGGGUGAGGAACUCGGCUUAUUCCUGGGGACAGCAGCCUGCCACCAGAGAGGCCAUAGGCUGGAGCAAGGGCUGACUCACAGGGCAGCGAGGAAACGGCCUGGAUCUUUGACCGGGGUAAGCAGUGUCUGAUUCCACUGCGGGGAGGAGGGAGAGGUUAUGACAAAGAAAGCAAUAACUAUUUCACUGAGCAAUUAAGUGCAUUAUUUCUCUUGAAAAAGCAUUCUCUUAAGCCGUGAAGGAGAAUUUAGCUCCCAUCUUGACAGAAUGUACUAAUGACUGCUAAUGGAUACAUUCUUUUAAUAAGUGAAGAGGCACAAGAAAAUUGCCAGAUAUUAAACAGAGUCCCGCGCGUCAUCUGAGUCUAUAAUGGCCCUAUCAAGUGACCCAAGCGAAAGAAAUGUGACUCUACAGGGGUUAAAGGAGUUUAUCUUCCCUUAGUGCUAUAUAAAUUCACUACUGGAAAGAACCGUAAUUCAUUGGUCUAUCCAGCGAAUGUUUAAAAGGGGGUCAUAUCUCAAGUUUAAUGAUGCAUUUCCUUUUGGUAGAAAGAAAAUAUGAAAUAGAACCUCUGUACAUUGUGGAUUUAUGUAAAUAGCCUCUUCCUGGCAAAUUUCUACUGGGUCUCUGAGUCUUGGGAUUUUCAGCUAAGAAGUUAAAGAGGUGGUGUAACACGUUAAUUUUAUUUGUUCUUUUUUCCAAUAUCUUCCAGAGUGUUUUUUUAUUGGUUGGUUUGGUUUGGUCAUUUUAAACUCUAUCUUUAGAAAUGUUUCUCAAGAUUCAAGUAAUUUCUAGUACUCCAAUCUUGGGGGACACUUCUUAAAAUUUAUAAAGAAUUCCAACAAAUUAAGAAGAAAAAGACAAUCCCAAAGAAAAAUGGAUAAAAGAAAUGUAGCAGAAACUCAAGAAGAAAUGGCCAAGAACCAUAUAAAAAGAUGAAUGAUCCGUAUUUUAGUUUUCUGCAAGGUGAUGUUUUCAAUACAAUAACUGUGCCUCCAAGCUUCAUCC
rnacentral:lncRNA from 1 species